rnacentral:rRNA from 1 species
UGGGGAAUAUUGCACAAUGGGCGCAAGCCUGAUGCAGCCAUGCCGCGUGUAUGAAGAAGGCCUUCGGGUUGUAAAGUACUUUCAGCGGGGAGGAAGGGAGUAAAGUUAAUACCUUUGCUCAUUGACGUUACCCGCAGAAGAAGCACCGGCUAACUCCGUGCCAGCAGCCGCGGUAAUACGGAGGGUGCAAGCGUUAAUAGGAAUUACUGGGCGUAAAGCGCACGCAGGCGGUUUGUUAAGUCAGAUGUGAAAUCCCCGGGCUCAACCUGGGAACUGCAUCUGAUACUGGCAAGCUUGAGUCUCGUAGAGGGGGGUAGAAUUCCAGGUGUAGCGGUGAAAUGCGUAGAGAUCUGGAGGAAUACCGGUGGCGAAGGCGGCCCCCUGGACGAAGACUGACGCUCAGGUGCGAAAGCGUGGGGAGCAAACA